GACUAGGGGCACCUGAUCCAUCAAUGCCGCGUGAGUGAAGAAGGCCUUCGGGUUGUAAAGCUCUUUUGUCAGGGAAGAAACAGCAGCUCUAAUACAGUUUGCGAAUGACGGUACCUGAAGAAUAAGCACCGGCUAACUACGUGCCAGCAGCCGCGGUAAUACGUAGGGUGCAAGCGUUAAUCGGAAUUACUGGGCGUAAAGCGUGCGCAGGCGGUUAUGUAAGACAGGCGUGAAAUCCCCGGGCUUAACCUGGGAAUUGCGCUUGUGACUGCAUAGCUAGAGUAUGUCAGAGGGGGGUAGAAUUCCACGUGUAGCAGUGAAAUGCGUAGAUAUGUGGAGGAAUACCAAUGGCGAAGGCAGCCCCCUGGGAUAACACUGACGCUCAUGCACGAAAGCGUGGGGAGCAAACAGGAUUAGAUACCCUGGUAGUCCACGCCCUAAACGAUGCUGACUAGUUGUUCGGGAUUUACAUCCUGAGUAACGUAGCUAACGCGUGAAGUCAGCCGCCUGGGGAGUACGGUCGCAAGAUUAAAACUCAAAGGAAUUGACGGGGACCCGCACAAGCGGUGGAUGAUGUGGAUUCAU
rnacentral:rRNA from 1 species